UAGUGGUUUUUGUGUGUCGGUAUUUUCGCUUGCAGCCAGAGAAUGGUGAGAAUCUGCCGCCUAAUAAAAUCCUCCAAACCUUGUUUGUAGCUUAUCCAUUGGGCUGCACAAUUUUAAGUAGCGGUUAUCUGGGU
rnacentral:ncRNA from 1 species